UACGUAGGGUGCGAGCGUUGUCCGGAAUUAUUGGGCGUAAAGAGCUCGUAGGCGGUGUGUCGCGUCGGCCGUGAAAACCUGCAGCUUAACUGUGGGCUUGCGGUCGAUACGGGCAUCACUGGAGUUCGGCAGGGGAGACUGGAAUUCCUGGUGUAGCGGUGAAAUGCGCAGAUAUCAGGGAGGAACACCGGUGGGCGAAAGGCGGCUUUCUGGACCAAUA
rnacentral:rRNA from 1 species